CCUUGCUAGCAUCUUCCCAGUUCUUUUCUCUAAAGCCCUUAAAUAAAGAUCAGUGGGAAAGGGGUCUGUGGUCUCAUUGUCACCGGUGUCUGCCAAGGAAACUGUAUCCAUUCAUUUACUAAUUCAUUUACUCCACUGAAUGAUAUUCACUGUCUUGUUGCAGUGGGUGCUGGUGCUGGGAGAGGGUCGUGUGCUUCCUUCCUGCUCUCAGGAAGCUUCGGAAGGACGAGUGCAAGACAGGCAAAGCUCACCCAGCUUACUGUUGGUUUGGGUGGUCUGAGUGCAGCCCGAAGACAGCACAAAGGAGACAGUGGCUUCCGCCUGGAGGGCGCGCUGACGGCAGCCUCCCUGCCAGAAAGUAGGAUUUGGACAGGAAGAGGAAUCUUCUGGACCCAUGUCCUUUCUCAAAGAGGCGAGCGGCAUCCAGGGGGAAGCCUGAGGCAUGAGAUGCACAGUGGUGACGUCUCAUGACGUCAGAAGGAAAGAGUGCUGCCUUGUUUCUCUUUGCUGGUUCAAAGGCUACCAAGUGCUCAUCAGUAAAGCAGAAAUUUCGUACUCCAAAGCCCUACACUUCUAUAUUUAUUUGAACCAACUCUGGACUGUGGGCUGUAGGGAUUAGUCAGUUUUUAAUCUCUUUGGGCUUCUUGCCCCAGUGUUCCCUGGCUCAGCAGCUGCCCAAAGACAAAUAUAGCCGGAUGGUUGGAAGCAUCCUUGGAAGUCCCUGAGAGGCCCGGAGAGGAAGUCUCUCAGGCCACACGAAUGGCCCUGCUGUGCUAAGCCUGGGACCAGCAGCAAAGCUCUCCUGCAGUGCUGUGGGGUGCAUGCAGCUGAGGUGUAGGGAGAGGCUGGGGACAGGGAACAGGGAGGUUUCUGGGUGGCACGAGUUUGUAGAGAAGGGGUGGUGACGCUAGUGUGUUUGAAACUUCAACUGUGAACACAACCUGGGAAUCUUGUGGCAAUGCGAGUUCUGACUCAGUGGGUCUGGGGAAGGGCCUGAAAUGCUACAUAGCAGACAAACGCCUAGUUCUGGGUGAUGCUGCCAGUUCCUCCCUCCCCCCCCCCCCCCCCCAUACUUUGAGAAGCAAAAGAGGAACACAGCAGGAAACCAUGAGGGUUCAAAGACAACAUUUUUCAGCUCCUGGACAUUGCCUUGGUCUAGCUCUGGACCCGGGCUUGGGUUUCAGAUUGUGUUCCAAACGUCUUUUAAUGGUAUCUGCCCUAGUAGACUUGUUGAAUAAGGCUAAUUUCACAGAUUCCUCUGGAAAGCCAGGCGCCUAGGCGUGUGCUGCCCCCUGCUGGUCGUCAUCUGACACCUGGUCUGCCUCUGGGCUUUUCUGUCACACCUGAAAACUGUGGAGUCCUAGAAAGGCAUUUAGAACUAUUCCUUUGAGCACUGGGUGUUAUACUAUAUGUUGGUAAAAUGAAUUUAAAUAAAAAUAAAAUAAAAUAAACUGUAUCCAUUUCUGGGAAAAAUAAAUAAAAUAAAAUAAAGAUGUGAAAGGAAAAAAAAUAAAAAGAAUUAUUCCUUCUGCCUUGCAGGUUAAUUCCAUCACACACCCUCAGACAUCCACAUUUUCUGAACUUUAAUGCAGGUUUCUAUCACACAGCUAGCUCUCCAGGUUGGGAGUUAGGUCUGUCAGGGGCAUUCACGGCAGUGGGGGUGUCAGAGCGACUUUGGAGUUAUUUUCACAAGAGACAAGGAAGAAUUAUGCAUGCUUGGAAGGCAUCCCAAGCUAUUCUGAUAGGCACCCCCUCUCUGCCGAGAGCCACCAGAGUGGUGUCAUUUUUCUGAGCCUGGCCUGGUAAGUGAUAGGCCACGAUGGGGGGUGGGGUAGAGCUGGUGCAUGCUGCCUCACCCAGGACUCCCAGGUCAGGCUCUGCACAGGAUGUGGCAAGUCUCCUUUGAGUCUAGGAUGGGUAGGGACGCCUGGGUGGCUCAGUGGUUGAGCACCUGCCUUUGGCUCAGGUUGUGAUCCUGGAGUCCCAGGAUUGAGUCCCGCAUGGGGCUCCCUGCAUGGAGCCUGCUUCUCUCUCUGCCUGCGUCUCUGCCUCUCUGUGUCUUUUAUGAGUAAAAAAAUAAAAUCUUUUUAAA
rnacentral:lncRNA from 1 species